UCUUUUCUGUCUUCAAUUUCUACUAACCCUUAUAAAUACUUAGUGCAUCUAAACAAUAUUAUUAAUUCAUUGCCUUAACUGUAUAAAAAAGGGUAUUUUAAAGAAACAGGUUUCUUAUGGAAUUUAUCUUUGUACUGAAAUCUAUAGACCUAUAAAUAUUGUUCCAAAGAAGUUAAAAUAGGAAGCAUCUACUGUAGUAGAGCCCUAUUUUGGCAAUAUAAAUUCCUUUUAAAUUACUGAGCCUACUCUUUUAUAUUGUUUGGGCACCUCUGAAGAGGUAGAACCCCUAUUAGAAAGAGUUAGGUGUCAGGAUUUAAAUAGAAUUUAGGCCAUUCAAAUGUCUCUUCUUACCAAAUAUUAGUGUUAGGUCACAUAACACUAGAGUUUCCUCAGUUGUUUCACUAACUGAUCUGCAUAUUCUUUUCAAAGAUAACAAAAGUCAUAUCUACUUUGCAGAAGAGCCCAUUGUGAAAAUUUCUCUGUUUUAAUUGUUCUUAGAGUGCCUCCAUAUGUGUCUUGGCAUAAUUAUGUUUAUUAUGAGUAAAUUACUCUCUUUUGGUGAAAUAAGCUGGUACAGGAAUUGAUAGAUCAUGUUUUUACUGAAUGUCCCAUUGGUGAAUCUUGGUCCUGUAGCAUGAAUAACGAGGCUCUGCAGGCAUCUCUGCCUGUUUGCAGGUCAGGGUCAUUCCAGUCUGGUGAAUCCUGUUCCUUGCACUUUUGCUCAGUUGGGAUGUUUUAAUGAAAACAUUGGCUGUCUGAGAACUGAGAAAUGAAGUUAACUUAGAUUUUUAUUGUCUCAUGAAAGUAUGAUGUGUCAAAAAUGUGAAUACCUGAAACACUUUUUGGUGGACCAUUUUUAAAAAAAAAUACAUUACUUCACUGCUACAGGCCUAAAUUAGCACUGAAAUUUGUAUUGGGAAGCCAAACCACAAACAAUAGAGAGGAGAGAACAGGGAGCCCCUGGGCCCCUAAUUUACCUCCACUUGCUGCAGAAAAAAGGUAAUGUUGCCAGUAUGUUUCACUAAGUAUCAGCUCCCGAAAAGGAAUGAGCUUACCCAGGGUGAGAGCUGUAGCCAGUGAAAAAAGGCAGCUCCUAAAGCUAUUGGGGUAUAAUAAACAGUUAUCAUUGAAAGCUGAAGCCAAGAAUCAGCAGGCAGUGUUUGAUACAGUUGACACGUAACCCUAGUUAGAAUUGCAAUUCACACUGUCUCUUUAAUCUUGGGAAAGGGUCUUCGGUAGAGUAACUUUAAUUUAUUGUUACUUCAGCAAUGAUACCAAUUAAGCAGGUCUCCAAAUGCCAAAUUUUCUACAGACCAGCAGAUUUUAUAUUUAUAUUAUUUAUUUUAUAUUUUAUAUUUAUAAGAUUUAUAAAAAGUUAAUUAUAUCAUUAAGCAAAGAACAGAGAAACCUGUCAUGAAAAAUUCUAUUAUCUGCCCUCAUCAUGUGUUAAACAAAGGGCAUGUAUACAGGAGGAAAGGCAGCACUGAACUGAAUGGGAUUGGUUUUGUACGUCUGUGAUUAUAUUGUGAAGUGGCAGAUACAUUUACUCCUAGCGUUCUCAAUGACAUAUAUGCCCAUAUAUAAAAAUUAGAUAUUUUCAUAGCUUAUUCCUUGAUACGCAAAGAAGAGAAAAUAUUUGCUCUUUGCAGCCCUGUAUUUUUAUUGGUAAAAUGUUGCAAUCAACCUUUUGUCUUACUACUUAAUUUCUUUUUUUUUUGUCCUCUCUCUACUAAGUUUUAUCUUUAGCUGCUGAAUAAGAUUAAUAAUCCCCAUACCUUAGUUGCAGAAGUUUAAUAAACAAAGCUUAAUUAAAACAAGAGGAGCAGAAUAAAGCUAAAGGGUUCAGCUUUAGCACUGUAGAUUCAUAUAAGUUUUUUAUUGUUUGUUGUGUGUUUUUAAAAAUUGAAGUGGGGAGAGGACUGGAACAGAACUUCAGGUUUUUGUAUUUAAUUCAACUAAUAGCAUGUGCUGAUAAGUAAUAAAUAACAGUGACAGAGUGACUAAAUAAAUUAGUUUCCUCAAACAGUGAUUCAUUCACUGUCUUUCAUUGCCAUCAGGUUAAGUGACAGAUUCUUUUUGUCAGCCUAAAGGAGAAAUGUUCAAUAGUGUAACAACCUCCUUUUAAUUCCAGCCACAGCAGCAUUUUAAAUGCAUUGAACUAGUAUAAAUAAAAAUCCAGCAAUUAAACAAAACUUGGGCUCCUUAUUGACUUACAAAUAAAAUCCCUGGAGAAUCAGUUAUCAAGAAAACAUCUUGCAGUGAUUCAGUGCACUUUCCUGGAGAAACAUUGCUGACAACAGGCAAGGUUCUUGUACUUUUGCAGAAAAAGGAUUAUUGGUAUUGAAUCUGGACAUCAGGACAUCAGAAGGAUUUCUGGACCUCAGGAGAAAUUUCUUCAUGGACAGGGUUGUUAAACAUUGGAAUGGAGUGCCCAGGGUGGAGUCACCAUCCCUGGAAGUGCUCAAGAAGUGACUGGAUGUUGCACUUUGUACUGUGGCCUAGUUGACAAGGGGAUGAUCAGUCAAAGGUUGGACUUCAUGAUCUCAGAGGUCUUUUCCAACUGAAAGGAUUCUGUGAUGCUAUGAUUCUGUCAAUCAUGAAUAGAGUCCCUUAGUAGGCUUCUGCUAAGCACUCAUCACUUAAGCACAGGAUAAAUAAAGGCCAUAUUCUUGCAAAAAUUCUUUACUAUCAGGUCUAUACCCACUUAUGGAGCAGAUUGGUAAGCUCUGUAAGUAUGGACCAUUUGGAGUAUUUUCUAGUAGAUUAACAUACUGUGUGCUUUUAUGAACCAGCCAUGGUGAUUGGAAAACAAGAUGCUAAACAGAAGAAUUAAAAAUCAUCUUUUCUGACCUUCCCAUUGGAAGUCCAACAGCAGGGUGAUAGAGUAGCCUAGGAGGGAUACUGCCAGAGUGAAAUUUAUGGGCUAUUAUAGUUUAAUAAAAAGCAAUUUCAAUUCCUGGAAGGUAUCCUCAAACUUUUUCACACUAGAAACCACACCUAUUCUAAACUAUUUUUUUUAGGCACUUUCAUUUGUCAGAGCUCUUUUCUCUCGCCAUACUAACACCCCUUAGUGUAACUAAAGUAGCAUCCAACAUUGGCUGUAAUACAAGGAGGAACAUUUGCUGGUUAUUUUCUAUGUCUUUUAAAAAAAGAAUUAGUCUGAUUUGAUAAGGAAAUGCACUACUGAUCACACUGAAAACUCACUUUUUGUAAUAUAUUCUUAAUGUCACUAUGGUAUUAGGACAGGUGCUGACUGUAGCUUCUGUUUUUAGCUCAGCACCAGACCUGCAAACAAUAUUGAAGUUCCUCAUUAUUUAUGACAUUUCUCCCAAACACCUGUGCUUUAUACCUACAAGUGUUCUUAGUGCAUUUUCAGCUAAUUACUGCUCUUAUUAACCAUGUAAAGGCUGUUAUUUGUCUCUGACAUUUAUCUAACCUUCUGAUUUGCCUUUCCAUCCAGUUGUCAUGGAACUGUAAGGCACAGUUCUGCCCUGCACAGCAUUAAUUCAAGUCCAGGACACAAUAAGGGACUGCUCUUCAUGUGCAUCAGCGUUGGUCAUGCUGGUUAUGCCUUGACAAAAACCGUAACUUGUACUUGUCUAAUGGUACUGGCCAGUUGCAAUACAAAGGGCACAACACCUCCUCAACAUAGAGAUGGUUCCUGCCUCACAUAAUUCUCCUUCUUGGCAAGUGCUGCAAAGUUAUGGACACAAGACCUGAUUUGCUGAUCGUCCUAGUUUUUGGUAACUCUGCAGAGCUGUCGCAAGAAAGCCAGAAUGAGCUGAAUUAGUCAUAUCAAGGUAACAAAGGCCAUCCUUGGGAGAGGAAUAACUGAAAACAAGGAAAAAAAUACGGAAGACUGGAUGGAUGAGUUCGCUGCACAGAAAUUCUUGGAAGAAAAAUCAGAGACGACCCAUGAUGAAAGGUGAAUAUUUCUAUAACCAUAGAUCUUCUCAGCUGCUCGAAAUAUCCAAACUGCAACUUUGCUCCUUCAAUCCUGCUUGGUUGAUAUGGGGCGAGAGGUGGACGUUGUCCCUAUGAAGUUCUCCAAGGCUUUCCAUUCAGUUUGCCCCAGCUUCCUCCUAGAGAAAUCGAUGUGUGACAAUCUAGACAAGUGGUCUGUGGGAUGGGUGGAAAGCUGCACCCAGAGGGGUAUGGUAAAUAGCUCUUUUUCAAGCUGGCAACCCGUCACAGGUGGACCCAAAGCUGUUGAUUAUCUUCAUGAGUGAUCUGGACAAUGGGAUCAAAUGGUCCCUGAUGAAAUCUGCUGGUGAUUCCAAACUGAGUGGGGAAAUGGAUAUUUUGGAAGGGAGAACCACUCUACAGGAAGACCUGUAUGGGCUGGAAGAGUGGAUCAACAAGAACCUUAUAAAGUACAACAAAGACAAACGUAAGGCCUUGCACCUGGGAAAGCAUAAUCCAGGAGUGCAGCACAGGCUGGGGUCUAUGGAGAAGUGGAAGAGCUCUGUGGAAAGUGACCCAGGGGUCCUGGGGGACAUCAAAUUCAGUGUGAGUGAACUGUGAGCUGCUGUGGCAAAGACAGCCAACGAGAUGCUGCACUGCAUCAGCAAAGGCAUCAUCUGCAGAGGGAAAACAGGGCCCUUAUCUCACUCCACUCAGUGCUUGUCAGGCCACACCUGAAAUACUGUGCUCAGUUUUGGUCCCUGAUAUUCAAGGAGGCUGGAGAGAGUCCAGACAAGGGCCAUAAAGAUGAUCUAAGGACUAGAAAACCUAUCGUGUGGGGAAAGGCUGAGACAGAUGGGUUUGUUCAACCUUGGGAAAAGAAGGCUCAGGGGAGACCUUGUCAGCAUGUUCCAGUGGCUACAAAGAAGAUGGAAACUCUUUUUGCGAGGAGUCACUUAGAAAAGACAAGGGAUAAUGGGUAAAAGUUACACCUGGCGAGGUUCCGGUUGAACACAGGAGGAAAAUUUUUCGCAAGGAGAACAAUUAACCAUUGUAAUAAUCUUCUCCCCAGGGAAGUGGUGAAUUCCCCAACAUGGACACUUUUAAGAUCCAGUUGAACAGAGUGUUGUGCCGUCUUCUCUAGGUCUUUCUUUGGCCACGGAAAGUUGGAUCAGAUGAUCCCUGAGGUCCCUUCCAACCUGGUGUUUUAUGACUCUGUGAAUUCAGGCCAAACUCGAAUCAGCUUUUCCAGAUAUUUUAAACACGUUAAUUAUACAGGCAUAGACUCCCUAGUUUAGUGGGGUUUUCUUUGGUUGGUUUGUUGGGGUUUUUUUUGUUUGUUUGUUUGUUUUUUAAACUAGGCUGUGUAGUAUAAAGAAUGUUUGUAUUAGUAGUUUCAAGAUUCAUAAUGUAUCCUACUUCUGUGUUUACAGUAUGUUGCAGAAUGUCAAAAGAUCUCAUUUUAUGCUUAGAAUAAAAAAAUUCUAGACUUGUCAUAGCUAUUAUGCAAUGUAAAACAAAAUCACUACAAAACAACUGCUAAUUCUGUUGGCCUUUUAUUGGUGUCAAGUGUUUUAUAAUUUUGUAAUCUGACUGUGCUAUGAAUAAAUAAGGGCAAUUUACUUUGAACUGUAAAA